AAUACCUAAUGUGGCAAAUACGUAUCCUACCUGUCUCCGCAUAUGCAGCGCGCAAACAAUAUCGUAUUUAAUCGACCUUUAUCUUAAACUCUGAUCAAACAUAUUAUUAUAUUUUAUCAUUUUAUAACGUAUGAUUUUUUUGCCACUAUAGUGAUAAUAUGGUUGUUUUGAAUCAUACGUGAAGAGUGACAGUGACGUAUAAUCUAAAAAUGAGGAUUUUUGGGGUUGCGUUUAGUGUAUUUUGUGUCCUUAUAGUAGCAAACUGUGGAGAGCCCAGUCCCCACCAUAUAGACCAACGAAUCUUAGAGAACCAAGACGGACUUAACUACACCUUAACAGAAAAUGAUAAUUUUACUUAUAACACGAAUAACUUGAUAACUGUUGAACCUGCCAUCAAUUCAAGCGUAAUUGUUACCAGCACGCCAUCCACUGAUGAAGACGUUAGUACCGAUGUAACUCGUAUGCAUGUAAAUAUUACAGCCCUCCUUAGAAACAAAGAUAAUCCUGUAAAUGUCAUUCCUAAAAAUCUUAAUCAAAAUAUCUCCUUGUUGAUGAAUAUUACAAAUAAUGAAACCACCGCGAAUAGCGCACUGGCGGUUGAUCCUAAAGCUAUUGAUACUGAAGUUAAUGAUCUCCUAAAUCAUAAUUCACAAGAAUCCCCAGAAAACCAAGGUCCUUUAUAUGAAAAGCAACAGCACCCAGUAGAAUCCUUAGAACCUGUGCAUUUCUCUGACAACAUUGACACAGAAACAGAGCUAAUAGAAGAUGGAGAAAAUACUGAAGAUGAGUUGAGGAAGAUAAAAAAUUAUAAAAUUGACGCUGAAGACAGAUUGCCAGCGGUGCCUUUAGCUGUCAUUUUGGUCUCCAUAUUUGUGACAUUAUCAGUGUUGAGCUAUGCAGGGUUAUUGUUAUGGAGAAAAUACUUAGAGGACAGAUAUGGUAGCAGAACGUUGUUAGUUGACGCCGAAGAAUUUGCUGAUUCAGGUGACUUAAAGCAUUUUACUAUUUAAAUGAUAACUAGAGUUAUAACCCUUAUUAUCUUAUGGCGGUUAUUGUAUUAAUAAUGAAAUGUGUAUAAUGUAUUUUCAUUAGAAUUGCUUUAAUUUUAUACAUAAGAAAUAUAAAAUAAUGAGUGUAAAAUGGUAAUUAAAUAAUGCUGCAAUGAAUUAAUAAUGUGAAAACAUUAUUAUUAAAAUUAAGCUACUGGCAACACAUUUCUCUCGAUAUAUUACCUAAAUCCUCAAUGUUAUGUAUCUACCUGUGAUAGAGAAAAAAUUUAAAAGUAUGUAAUUAUUUAAAAAUAAAACACAGUAUUAAUAAAUA